rnacentral:tRNA from 1 species
GCCAGCAUGGCAUAGUGGUUUGAGUGUUGGACUUCAACUCUGGAGACCAGGGUUUGAUUCCCAGCUCUGCUA